ACGGAACACGAGUUCGUGAAAGAGGAGGAGCUAGAGGAAGGGUCAGAUCUUCCUCAUCUUGUUCCUUAUGCCAGAGUCAGGCUCCAACUCCAAACUUUUUCUGCCAAGAUUGAAUCCAAGGGUUAUCUUAGAGUUGGUCCUCAUUACAAAUACAAUAUGUUUGCUGCUGGAGAUGAAGGCAAUAAAGAGAAGACUGUAGUUUAGUAUAGGGGUGUGGUGGAUAUUAGGAAUUAGAAUUUGAGCAUGAAUGACAAGUAGCCAAAGAAAGAAUUGAUGGAUAGCAAAGUGAUAUGAAAGCUCUAGCCACCCUGAAUCCAACUUUGUUGCCAAGACAUGCAUGCCAAUCUGCCUCUACAAGUCUACAAAUAAAGAAAAGUUUAGGGGACUAACAACUUUAUUAAAUUAUGGCCAGUAACCAGCAAAAAAAAGUGAGUCAUUAGAUAAAAUGUCACAUCAAUCUCACAACAUUAAAAUCACCAUUAAUGGUUAUUUGAUGGCUACAAAU